rnacentral:rRNA from 1 species
GACGAACGCUGGCGGCGUGCUUAACACAUGCAAGUCGAACGGAAAGGCCCUGCUUUUGUGUGGUGCUCGAUUGGCGAACGGGUGAGUAACACGUGAGUAACCUGCCCUUGACUUUGGGGUAACUUCAGGAAACUGGGGCUAAUACCGGAUAGGAGCUCCUGCUGCAUGUUGUGGGUUGGAAAGUUUCGGCGGUUGGGGAUGGACUCGCGGCUUAUCAGCUUGUUGGUGGGGUAGUGGCUUACCAAGGGUUUGACGGGUAGCCGGCCUUAGAGGGUGACCGGCCACAUGGGGACUGAGAUACGGACCAGACUCCUACGGGAGGCAGCAGUGGGGAAUAUUGCACAAUGGGCGGAAGCCUGAGGCAGCAACGCCGCGUGCGGGAUGACGGCCUUCGGGUUGUAAACCGCUUUCGCCUGUGACGAAGCGUGAGUGACGGUAAUGGGUAAAGAAGCACCGGCUAACUACGUG